rnacentral:lncRNA from 1 species
CUAUAACAACUUCACCUUAUUGAGGUUUUUGUAGGGCCUGCAAUUUCCAGGAUGACGCAACCAGAGGAGACCCAACGUUGGCGAAAAGGUGAGUAAUUCAUUUUUCUUGUGUGUGCAGAUGAGGUGUGGGGGUGGGGGGGGGGCAAAAUGUUCAGGGGCACUAGGACUGUAGAGUCAAUAAUGUCUGGAUGACAACUGCCCAAGGAUGGACAUGUAGGGGUGAGCAAAACAUAGCAAUACUGUUAAAUGGAAGUGGGUAGCUUACAAACAAACAAACAAACACAUACUUUAUAAUUACAUUAAAUCAAGUGUCCAAUGCAUUUUAUGUGUGCGAGUCUUGCAAGUAUAAAUGGAGGGGAGCCUAGCUUAUGAGUUCAAUGCAAGCGUAGGAUGUAUAAUUUAUUAAAGUUAAUUUAUACCUUCUUCUACGUUUAUAAUCCCCCAAAUCCCUCAUUUUAUUAACCUGUAUAUUCCCCUAUUCCUUCUUUCUUACACUGUCUAUAUAUGAUCCGAUGAUACACCUAUUAUAUUUUUAUUAUCCUUCGAAUUCUCGCUAUUCAAGUGUUAUAAAUGUUUAUAAAAUUUUUUUAGCAACACCAUUUCCUUAGUUAUAAUGACAUCUGCAGCCUGCAUAUUAUCUCUGAUAAUUGUUUUGUUUAUAUGCAUUUCUGCUACAUCAGAGAAAUUAUACGGUUUCUACUUGUUGAGGAAUGCUGGUUCUAUAAAAUAUUUGGGAAUUAUAAAAUAACAAAAUUAGCAAUAAGAAGAGAAGUGAUAAACAAGGGAAACAGCCGAGCAUUGUUCUUAAAUAUUUUAGGGGAAAAAACUCACCAAUCUUUUGACAGUGAAUUAUGACUCAACCAAACCUGUUCCCACAGGAACUAAAGACAGAUAUGGAUUUAAUGCCAGGUUUAGAUGUGUGAUGUCCUUUAGGUGGUACGUCUCAUCUCACACCGCACGUAAAACCUAUAGAACCCCAAAGAUCCACAAGAUUUCCACCGUCUUCGAAAAAUAAACUCUUCUCUUAGCAAAAUCUAACUUCCAGCAACUGUGCCUGGUUACCUCACUGAACUGUGCUCUCGUUUAGAAAGCUGUCAAACGUAUUUGUCAGUUUACUUUCUGUUUUUAAUCCUACCAAGAGCUGGUAAGUCUUACAGUCCUCUCGCUGAGCCAAUAGGUAUUUAGGGGUGGAGUGAAAGUUUUCAGACUGAAUACAUCCCAGCAAAAUAAAAAGAAGGAAAACAAAAAAUCUCUAUACCAGGAUUGACUGCAGGAAUUGUGAAUCACGAGAGAACUGCAGGACAAAACAAGCAAAACACAAAAGUCUUAAACAGAACACUUACAGAACUGUUUAACAUUGUAUCUUGCAAACAUACAAUUUAAAGUUUUGCUACUGCAAUAGAAUUAUAGUCGGCUACACAGAGUAAGGAAAGUCACCAUAGAAGGGCUGACAAGGGGGGAGGUCGGGCAAUUGCCCCCCCAGGCCACUAGCAUAGGACAGUAGUAAGAGGGGAGGGCGGGGGGCUGCAGCUUCGAACCAUUUCUCAGAAAAUUAUAAAAGCUGGAGGGUUGUUGGUGUGUCUGUCUGUCAACACAGUUCUGCAGGAGUGAGGCAGCAGCCAGGGGGAGUGCAAGCUUGCUAGCCUAGUACUAGGAUUUGUGCAUGAACUGGUGGCCAGGCCAGGACUGGCCCCUGGGAUAUUUCCUGGAGGACUGCAGUAUAUGAGACGGAGCAGGCUGCCGGGUCACGAUGAGCAUGAGAUAAAAACACUAAUAAUGACAUUUAUGAUAUACUUCACUUGUCAUACGUUGCAAUUGAGUCAAUGGGAAGUAAAGACAGUGUCGGGCAAGCACGGCCUCUUUGAUUGCUCGUUCAUACUAUGCAGAUUGGGUUUUGUGAGCUUCACCUGGCUCAAAAUCAGGGAAUUUAUACUUCAUAGCACUUUGAAGGCAGAUGCCUCCUAACCUCUUGCUCCUAACCAUAAAUACCCCUAUACUUAACCCUCUAAUAACAAAUCACUCAAAGAAUAACCAAGACUUAAAAUCUUUCCAAGCCUAAUAGUCUAUCCCAAACUGCUCCACCCUGCAUGCUGACAGGCACUUGUCCUCUAGGGGGCGCCUGUUUUUAAUAUUUAGAAUGUGCAUUUUUGGAGUUUAACCUCUUAAGGACACAUGCCAUUUGUGACAUGUCAUCAUUCCCUUUUAUUCCAGAAGUUUGGUCCUUAAGGGGUUAAAGGAACUCUAGAGGCAUUAUAACGAAGAUGAGAAGUAGUAGAGGCAGGGAGCGAUGCCAGGUGGAGCCAAAGUAGGAAUCAAAUCGUUCUAAAACAGUUUGACUACUUACAAUGGGGGUGCGAGGAGGUGUAGCCAUCCUACAUGGUUAUUGAGUAUUCCAUAUAUUCGUAUAACUGCAAUAUAAUUGUUGCUUCAACUUAUUCAUAACAUUUAAUAUGCACAUUUUUAAAGGAAUAGUUUUACCUGCAGACACUAAAACACCUGCAAUAUGUUUUUAUAUUGGAGUUUAUCACACCCAGAAAGAAAAACAUUGAGCCCAAUCACCAUGGAAACCAAAAGAACGUAUGUCGGCACUUAGCUCCCAGGAUACCACCUAUUUUGCUUUAAUAAGUCUCUUCCAACGAACAUUCUAAGUUUGAAAAUAUACUUAAAGGAACACUCCUGUCACUACAACAACGUAACUGAAAUUAAGAUGAUAUGGUUCCAGGAGGCCCCAGGCGCUUUCUCACCUAAAUGGGUUAAACUGUUUAUUUAUUUACAAAAAUAAAUGUAAAAAAGUUACGUACUUAACAGUAGCUAGCUCACCAUUCAUAAAAAUCAUGUAUACUUUUUAAAUGAACGGGGACCUACUGAUUGGCUUUGAGUGUCAGCUGACUGCUCUAGCCAAUCAGCGGCACGCCGCACUUCUUGAAGCUUAAUUACAGAAGCUGGAUGCCGCUGGGGGAACUGGAGAUCCGGCGCAGGAAAGAACCCUUGGGGUUAAAUCGUUCGCGAAUGGUUUAACCCUUCAGGUAAGAAAAAGCUCGGGGGCCUCCUGGCAGCAUGACAACUUAAUUGCAAUUAAAUUCAUUGGAUGAAUGGAGUGUUCUUUUAAUUAACAUCACUAAACUAUUUUUUGAAAGUUUUUUUUUUUUUUUUUUUACAUUCUGAACACGACUUAAGUCAUGGUUUUCUGUUUAAAAUAGCGUUUUCUUCUAUAAAUAUACUAUGCUUUAUAAUCAUUGCAGAUAUUUAAAGCUUUAAAAUAUUUUUCAAGAGAUGCCUGUGUUUUGUAUUAUAUGAGUGUUUUAAAGGGACAGUCCAGGGUUAAAGGGACACUAUAGUCACCAGAACAACUACAGCUUAUUGAAUUUGUUCUAGUGAGUAGAAUCAUUACCUUCAGGCUUUUUGCUGUAAACACUGUCUUUUCAUAGAAAAUGCAGUGUUUACAUUACAGCCUAGUGAUAACUUCACUGGCCACUCCUCAGAUGGCUGUUAGAGAUCCUUCCUGGGUCAUGGCUGCCUAAAAUGCAUCCAAACAUUCAGUAUCUCCUCCCUCUGCAUGCAGACACUGAACUUUCCUCAUAGAGAUUCAUUGAUUCAAUUCAUCUCUAUGAGGAGAUGCUGAUUGGCCAGGGCUGUGUUUGAAUUGUGCUGGCUCUGCCCCUGAUCUGCCUCUUUGUCAGUCUCAACCAAUCCUAUGGGGAAGCAUUGUGAUUGGAUCAGGCUACCACUUCUGAUGAUGUCAGCAGACUGCUUGUUUUUUCUGAGACAAACAGCACGCAGAUGUACAGCUUCAAGCUUGAAUACAGUAAGAUUUUGCUAUAUUUAUGGAGACAUGAGGGGCCAGGGGGGCUAGAUGGUGGUUUCAACACUACAGGGUCAGGAUUACAUGUUUGUGUUCCUGACCCUAUAUUGAUCCUUUAACUAACCCUUUCUGAAUGAAUUAUGUAACAAGUUUUGAAAGGAUUUGUUUUCCAGACAAUAACGUAUGACAUCACUCAUUUUCAAGUCACAUGCCUACACUUUACCUACAUUCUUAUUUUUGCGACUAUGUCUCUAAAGCACAGAUCUGGUCUACAACUCCUAGAAUUCUUUGAAUGCAAUAGAUGGCCAGAGAAUCAUGGGAAUUGAAGUUGAAGGCUUGCAUUUCCUUAAAGAAACACUAUAGGAUCAGCAACGAAACAUGUAUUCCUUAUGCUAUAGUGUUAAAAACACAAUCUUGUCCCCCUGCCCCCACCUUCACCCCUUGACUCCCUAAAUAUAGUAACAUUUUAUUUUUUCCAGUCAACUGCCUCUGCUGCUGAUCUGCCUGCUUGGCUGACAUCAUCAGAAGUUAUGAUCUGAGCCAAUCACAAUGCUUUUUCCAUAGGAAAGCAUUGGAUUGGCUGAGCUUGUCAAGGAGGGGCAGAGCCAACACAAGCCAAAUACAGGCUUGAUCAAUCAGCUUCUCCUUAUAGAGAUGAAUUGAAUCAAUGUAUUUCUAUGAGGAAAGUUCAGUGUCUUCAUGCAGAGGGUGGAGACACUGAAUGGCAGUCACACUGUGCAGCACUGCCCCAGGAAGCACCUCUAGCAGCCAUCUGAGGAGUGGCCAGUGGAGGUAUCCUUAGGCUGUAAUGUAAACACUGCAUUUUCUCUGAAAACACAGUGUUUACUGCAAAAAGCCUGAAGGGAAUGAUUCUACUCACCAGAACAAAUUCAAUAAGCUGUAGUUGUUCUGGUGACUAUAGUGUCCUUUGAAUAUUUUUAAUAACUUUGAGCAUGUGUAUUAAGACUGACUAAACAAUUUUGUUAUAAAGUUUACAUUUUAAGCCAACUGUCCUGAAAAAUUAGAAAAAUAAAUCACAUGAUGUGACAGUAAGCAAAUAGAAGUGAAGGUAAAGAUAUUGCAUGAUGUAGUAACCUAUGAAUCCAGUUUAUAUUCCACCAAUUGUUAAACAGUCUGAGAACUUCCAAAGUCUGAGUUACAAGAUCUUCGGCAAGCAGGCAUAAAGAGACACGACCUCAAAAAUAUUGUGUUACUGUAUUGUUAUUGUUAAUAAAGUGUCAUAAAGUCCAGGACUAACAAAUAAGUAUUUGCAACAGGACAAGUUGGAACUGAAGGUACUGAGGGCCCUGCUCAAAAGAGCUUACAUUCCAAGGGGAGUGCAGUAAAGUGACACGAGAGGUAAGGUUAAGAUGUAUUUCAUGGAAAAGUAGGUUGCUAGAAGAGUUUACUAUUUGUUUUGGAUGACGCAGGAAGGAAAGAUGGGUUUGUAAGGUAUGUGGAGGGAAAGUUUAUAACAGUUUAAUUGAUAUAUCUUCCUAAAAAGUUAGUUUAAAGUAAUUUUUUUAAGGACUAGAGACUGGGUGAGAGAGGAGAACAAGGACCUGAACUGAGCCCUCUAUCUUAUGGGAAGCCAACAUAAGGACUGACAGAGGACUGACGGAGGGGGGAAACGUGGGAUGACCAGAGGAGGUGGCUCACUACAGCAUUUAUUAUAGUUCGUUAUAGACUGUAGCUGGGAGAGCUGGGAAUGCGUAAGACCAGCCCGAAGCAGACUGCAGUAGUCAAGGUGGGGGUAGAUUGCCAAAUGUAAAUUCUCUGCAAAAAUAACUUCACUGCGCACUGCAUGCUGGCAACAGAUGUAAUCUGGUUCUUCACUUGCAGGCAACGCUGUGAGUGCACCUGCAAGUGAAGCCUUUGGAAUGUGAAUGAGUGUGUGUGCGAGUCUCAUAGAUGUCACUGAAUGAGCCCUCCCUCCACCAGUGUCCACUUUUCAUGUAAAAUAUUCCCUCUCCUUGUAAUAAUGCCAGCCCUUGCAUUCUGCCUCCCAACCUCAUUGAGAUUCCCUUCCCUUGUCCACCACCCCAUCCAUUCAUUUGAGCACUUGCAGCUCUCGCCACCAACACACCGAAGGCCAAUCAAAUGCUCUUCUAUGUCCAUAAAUCUGAAGUCCACACAUAUAGAACUCACAGUAUUACAUUGACCAAUCAAAAGCCUCUGUAACUGAAGCUUUGUCAAUUUGCUUGGUUAGGACCAAGUACAGAAAGUUGAACAAAUUCUUUAAAUAGUUUAGAAGAAUUUACCCCAAAAAAGAAAAAAAAAUACUCAACAGUCCACAGUCCAAAACAAGUUGUUUCAGAUGUGCAUUCUAAUAGAGGGUGUUUGACACCAAAUACUGUUUUGUUAAAAACACAAAUAUUGAUGUACAUUCAUGUUCUUGUAAAUGGUAAGCAAUAUAACACAUACUGCUAUAACUAUUAGACUUAAAAAACAGUGGGAUUGAUCAGGUUGGCUGAAUCAUUUUUCCCUAAAAUUUAAUUUUGUUUGGGAUGUCUGAUGCUCGCUCAUGUGAUGUUUCGGCUUUUGCUGAAUAGCAUGAAAAACAUUCAUGAAAAACUACAUCAGAAUAGCAUUGGCCAAACAAAAAAAAAAAGCACCCUUGCCCCUCCCCCCUCCCCCAUUGGUCACUUCUCACUUGAUCUCUGAAUGUAAUAAACAUUUAGUGAUUGUUCCCAAGCCAUCAAUCAUCUUUUCCCCCAUCAUUCAUUUCUGUUUUAGUGUCACAGGCUGAACUGCGAAUACCGAAUGUUUGGCCAUGGCGCUAGUCGUUUGCUUGGGUAUAAGUCCAUAUAGUGCUUUGGGGAGACAGAAUAUGGCCGAACAGUCAAUUGGUCCAAAUUCUAAUAUCUAUAGAUUUAAAGGAGAAACUCCAGGAACCAAAUGUAAAAAAAAAGGCAUCUGAUAGAUCACCUGCAAAUAAUAACCUAACGAUUUUCUGUAUUCCAGAUCCAAAUCUAAAUCCAAAUGCCAUAAUGCAAUAUUAUUUGUGUCCCACGUCGAAGGGGAAGGCUGGAGAUGACCUUAUGAAGAAAAUGAAUGGGACCAUAUAUAAAUGAAAAUGCUGUUCAGUACCAACAUAGGUAUAAGGGACAUGUCGGGGUGAAAAUUAAGGAAAAUAUUGAAGCUCAGUAUUUGCUUUGUUGAGUUUAAAUCUAUAGCAAGCUAUCUAGGAAAAAUGUUUUGAAAUCUGUCAUCUUAAGAAAAAUGCCAACAACACACACAUCAAAUAUUUAAGUAAUGCCCAUAAACAAACUGACGGGGAUGCGGAGUGUGAGCUCUGUGCACAAGAACAGCUAAGUUACAAGCUGCCGAAAUCUACUUUAGCUAUUGUUAAAAACGAGAGUUGGUAUUUAGUCCUGAGUGAAUCCUUUUGACAGUCCUGC